rnacentral:rRNA from 1 species
UACCUGCAGCUCAAGUGGUGACCACUAUUAUUGGGCCUAAAACGUUCGUAGCCGGUUUAUUAAAUGCUUGGGUAAAUCGUGUAGCUUAACUAUACGAAUUCCGGGUAGACUGAUAGACUUGAGACCGGGAGAAGCUAGAGGUACUCCUGGGGUAGAGGUGAAAUUCUGUAAUCCUGGGGGGACCACCAGUGGCGAAGGCGUCUAGCUAGAACGGGCCUGACGGUGAGGAACGAAGCCCUGGGGCGCAAACCGGAUUAGAUACCCGGGUAGUCCAGGGUGUAAACGCUGCUUGCUUGAUGUUAGUUGGGCUCCGAGCCCAAUUAGUGUCGGAGAGAAGUUGUUAAGCAAGCUGCCUGGGAAGUACGAUCGCAAGAUUGAAACUUAAAGGAAUUGGCGGGGGAGCACAGCAACGGGUGGAGCGUGCGGUUU